AUAAAAUUUUUUUGUGCUUUCUAAAAUUGGAACGACACAGAGAAGAUUAGCAUGGCCCCUGCACAAGGAUGACACGCACAUUUGUGAAGCAUUCCAUAUUUUU